UACGAAGGGGGCUAGCGUUGCUCGGAUUUACUGGGCGUAAAGGGCGCGUGGGCGGAUGGCACAGUCAGAUGUGAAAUUCCCAGGCUUAACCUGGGGGCUGCAUUUGAUACGUGUGAUCUAGAGUGAGGAAGAGGGUCGUGGAAUUCCCAGUGUAGAGGUGAAAUUCGUAGAUAUUGGGAAGAACACCGGUGGCGAAGGCGGCGACCUGGUCCUUGACUGACGCUGAGGCGCGAAAGCGUGGGGAGCGAACAGG
rnacentral:rRNA from 1 species